CGGGUGCGUAACACGUAUGCAACCUACCUUAAACUGGGAGAUAGCCCGGGGAAACUCGGAUUAAUACCCCAUAAUACAGUUGAGUCUCAUGACGUGAUUGUUAAAGAUUUAUCGGUUUAAGAUGGGCAUGCGUUCGAUUAGCUAGUUGGCGGGGUAAUGGCUCACCAAGGCUACGAUCGAUAGGGGGUCUGAGAGGAUGAUCCCCCACACUGGUACUGAGAUACGGACCAG
rnacentral:rRNA from 1 species